UCUAACCCUUUCUACAUCCAGGUCUUGUACCUCUACAUCUCCAUGUUGGCUUUACGCCCCAAAUACUACUUUGUAUGGACGUUAGCCGAUGCCAUCAACAAUGCAGCUGGUUUCGGGUUUAAUGGCUAUAACACAGAUGGCACCCCAAAAUGGGACAGAAUAUCAAACUUAAGAAUACUCAAUAUUGAGUUCGCCACCAGCUUCAAGAUGUUCUUGGAUAACUGGAACAUUCAGACAGCACUUUGGUUGAAAAG